AGAGUUUGAUCAUGGCUCAGGAUGAACGCUGGCGGCGUGCCUAACACAUGCAAGUCGAACGUGAGGAGUGGCUUCGGCCGCUCUGAAAGUGGCGAACGGGUGAGUAACACGUAGGUGACCUGCCUCGAAGUGGGGGAUAAACCACUGGAAACGGUGGCUAAUACCGCAUGGGCCUGUGGCUGCGGGAGCGGCGAUGGGUAAAGGGUUUACUGCUUCGAGAGGGGCCUGCGUCCGAUUAGCUGGUUGGUGGGGUAAUGGCCUACCAAGGCGCAGAUCGGUAGCUGGUCUGAGAGGACGAUCAGCCACACGGGAACUGAGACACGGUCCCGACUCCUACGGGGGGCAGCAGUGAGGAAUAUUGCGCAAUGGGGGCAACCCUGACGCAGCAACGCCGCGUGGAGGAUGAAGGUCUUCGGAUUGUAAACUCCUUUUCUUGGGGAAGAGCAAGGACGGUACCUGAGGAAUAAGUCACGGCUAACUACGUGCCAGCAGCCGCGGUAAUACGUAGGUGGCAAGCGUUAUCCGGAAUUACUGGGCGUAAAGCGCACGCAGGCGGCCUUUUAAGUUUGACGUGAAAGCUCCCGGCUUAACUGGGAGAGGUCGUUGAAGACUGGAAGGCUUGAGACGAUGAGAGGGGUGCAGAAUUCCCGGUGUAGUGGUGGAAUGCGUAGAUAUCGGGAGGAAUACCAGUGGCGAAGGCGGCACCCUGGCAUCGGUCUGACGCUCAUGUGCGAAGGCGUGGGGAGCGAACGGGAUUAGAUACCCCGGUAGUCCACGCGGUAAACGAUGAACACUGGGUGUGGGGAGCGUAAAGCUGUCCGUGCCGAAGCCAACGCGUUAAGUGUUCCGCCUGGGGAGUACGGCCGCAAGGCUAAAACUCAAAGGAAUUGACGG
rnacentral:rRNA from 1 species